UGCUACUAUCGAUGUUUUAUUUUCACUACCGAUGGUAUCGAACAGAAUUUUAUCUCUGUCCCAUCACUACUUCUGACAAAGGACGCGCUAAUCGGUGGAAAAUUUGGACACAUUGCAAUUAGUGUUGGCGGUUCUAUGGAUAAUUACCUGAGAAUUUCCAAUAACAAAGAUGCCAGAAUGUUCUGGACAUCAGCAGUGACCCGGAAGAGGGAAGUCCCUGUACGAACAGUUCAAGAGUUGGAAAAUCGAAGGUAUGGAGAUAUUUUGAAAAAGCAAAACGAGGUAAAACUGCCGCUAUUGUGACAAAAUUUACAAGACGAGUGGCAAUACGUCUAACAUGUUUGACCAUCUAAAGCGAUCGCACCCUUCAUUAAAAGAAUUGUCAAAGCCAUCGGGAACAAUAACUUCCUAAUUGGAUAAAUCGAAGGUGUAUGAAGUAUCAUCACAACGAAAAAAGACCUUGACAGUGCUUUGGUGAAAUUUAUUGCGUCAGAUGUGCGACUAUUUGCAAUAGUAGAAGACAAAGGAUUUCGCGAAUUUGUGAAGGAACUCAAUCCUCGUUACGAAUUACCAUCUCGAACGACCCUUCAAAAUGUGUUUAUGGCGAACAUUUUGAACAAGAUAACGGCAAUCGUCACCGACCAUGCUAAGUCAAUGCUGAAAGCGUGCGAACUGUUACAAAAACGGAACCUUCCAUGUUUUGCUCACUCGCUAAAUUUAGUUGUGCAAGAAAGUUUAAUGCUAGACAACAUUCAACUCAUUCUAUUGAAAUGCAAACGCAUUGUGUCGUAUUUCAAAAGCAGCACAAUGGCGUACGCCAAGUUUAAUAUGGAAUUUACAUGAUUCAACUUUCACAGGCGAUUAGUUGAACCAAAAGUUGAACGAAAGUAGGGAGCCGACCAACUUCAUUGUAAGCGAUUAGUUGAAAGGCUGUUUACACCAGGCGAUUGUUGCUUUCAACUAAAAAUCGCCUGAAAAAUCGCCUCAUGUAAAUUCCCUAUAAAGCAGCACAAGAAACAGAGAAGAAAUAUAGCUUAAAACAGGAAGUGGCGACACGAUGGAACAGCGCAUACCUGAUGAUUGGUCGUAUUUUAUUAACAAAUGAUGCAAUUGUAAAAGUUCUGCUCAAUAUAUCAAAAGCACUACAACCUUUGACAGCAGACGAAGUUGCGUUAUUACAACAUUUGAUGCAGUUACUUUCACCAUUUGACAAUGCCACUAUGCAAUCAUCCUCUAGUUCCACAGUUACGAUCUCCUUAGUCAUACCGCUUGUGUGUGGUCUUUUGCAUACUUUAGAAAACCUAAAAACGAAUCUCAGAACUGCUGAAGGACUUGAUGCGUGCAUCUUUAUGAUUGAGCUUCUUUUCUCCUUUUAAUGCUAAUGAGCCUGGAAAAAUUCUAGAAAAUGAGCUUGCAGCUGUAAGCAAGGUGCAGAGAACACAACUUUCUCCAGGCAUUGGUUCCCCAGAACCGCCAACACUAAUUGAAAAGCCUGGGCCGUCGCAGCAAACGUUAUUUGGAUUCCUUGAAAGAAAUAUAGCGAACAUGGCGGGGACUAAUCGGGUCGAUGCGAUUGUCACCUUACAACAAUAUUUGGAGAAUUCACAUUCUCCUCAGGGCAGUGACCCCUUUUGGAAAUGCCUUCCGAAUGAUUCUUUUACAAAAGCGUGCGCUGCUCGAUUUCUUUGCAUUCCAGCCACAUCCACAGAAUUUGAAAGGAUGUUCAGCAGAGCAGGCAUCAUAGCAAAUAAAAGACGAGCUUCUUUAAAGGCAAAGAA